rnacentral:rRNA from 1 species
GGAUAACCUACCCUUAGGACCGGGAUAACCCUGGGAAACUGGGGAUAAUACUGGAUAGGCAAUUUUUCCUGCAAUGGUUCUUUGUUUAAAUGUUUUUUCGCCUAAGGAUGGGUCUGCGGCCGAUUAGGUAGUUGGUUAGGUAAUGGCUUACCAAGCCGUUGAUCGGUACGGGUUGUGAGAGCAAGAGCCCGGAGAUGGAACCUGAGACAAGGUUCCAGGCCCUACGGGGUGCAGCAGGCGCGAAACCUCCGCAAUGUGAGAAAUCGCGACGGGGGGAUCCCAAGUGCCAUUCUUAACGGGAUGGCUUUUCAUUAGUGUAAAGAGCUUUUGGAAUAAGAGCUGGGCAAGACCGGUGCCAGCCGCCGCGGUAACACCGGCAGCUCUAGUGGUAGCAGUUUUUAUUGGGCCUAAAGCGUCCGUAGCCGGUUUAAUAAGUCUCUGGUGAAAUCCUGUAGCUUAACUGUGGGAAUUGCUGGAGAUACUAUUAGACUUGAGACCGGGAGAGGUUAGAGGUACUCCCAGGGUAGAGGUGAAAUUCUGUAAUCCUGGGAGGACCGCCUGUUGCGAAGGCGUCUAACUGGAACGGUUCUGACGGUGAGGGACGAAAGUUAGGGGCGCGAACCGGAUUAGAUACCCGGGUAGUCCUAACUGUAAACGAUGCGGA